rnacentral:rRNA from 1 species
GACGAACGCUGGCGGCGUGCCUAACACAUGCAAGUCGAACGGAAAGGCCCUGCUUUUGUUGGGUGCUCGAGUGGCGAACGGGUGAGUAACACGUGAGUAACCUGCCCUUGACUUUGGGAUAACUUCAGGAAACUGGUGCUAAUACCUGCUAGGUGCUCCUGCUGCAUGGUGGGGGUCGGAACGUUUCGGCGGUUGGGGAUGGACUCGCGGCUUAUCAGCUUGUUGGUGGGGUAGUGGCUUACCAAGGCUUUGACGGGUAGCCGGCCUGAGAGGGUGACCGGCCACAUGGGGACUGAGAUACGGACCAGACUCCUACGGGAGGCAGCAGUGGGGAAUAUUGCACAAUGGGCGGAAGCCUGAUGCAGAAACGCCGCGUGCGGGAUGAAGGCCUUCGGGUUGUAAACCGCUUUCGCCUGUGACGAAGCGUGAGUGACGGUAAUGGGUAAAGAAGCACCGGCUAACUACGUG